UAUUGGACAAUGGGCGAAAGCCUGAUCCAGCCAUGCCGCGUGUGUGAAGAAGGUCUUCGGAUUGUAAAGCAAUUUAAGUUGGGAGGAAGGGCAGCAAGCUACUACCUUGCUGUUUUGACGUUACCGACAGAAUAAGAAUCGGCUAACUUCGAUCCAUGAGCCGCGGUAAUACGCAGGGUGCAAGCGUUAAGCGGAAUUACUGGGCGUAACGCUCGCGUAGGUGGUUUGUUAAGUUGGAAGUGAAAGCCCCGGGCUCAACCUGGGAACUGCCUUCAAAACUGGCAAGCUAGAGUAUGGCAGAGGGUGGUGGAAUUUCCUGUGUAGCGGUGAAAUGCGUAGAUAUAGGAAGGAACACCAGUGGCGAAGGCGACCACCUGGGCUAAUACUGACACUGAGGUGCGAAAGCGUGGGGAGCAAACA
rnacentral:rRNA from 1 species